CGCACCUUGCGCCCCUUGGUAUUCCGAGGGGCAUGCCUGUUUGAGUGUCAUUAAAUCAUCAAACCUUAACAGUUUUUGUUUAAGGCUUGGAUUUGAGGGCUUUGCUGGUUCCUUAGUAGAGUCAGCUCCCUUUAAAUGUAUUAGCCAGGACUUUCAAUGGGUUCUGUCAUUGGUAUGAUAAUUAUCUAUGCCAUUGACUCCAUGAAAAGGAAAGACCAGCUUCUAAUCGUCUGUAAUGGACAAAGCAUAUUUUGACUUGACCUCAAAUCAGGUAGGACUACCCGCUGAACUUAA
rnacentral:misc_RNA from 1 species